GCGCGCAUGCGCGCUACCACUGGCAGAGAUAAAUCUUGCCAAUACUUACUAUGGCUCAUCUAGUGGUUCUUGCUCUUUCAGAAAGUACCAUGGCUGCACUCACGCUCCAGUGAUAAGGAAGCUACCAUCAAAGUGCCUCAGUUCCUUAUAACCAGGCAAGACUGGUGGAAGAUUGAAAACUAGGAAGGAUUAUCAGGAAACAGGAAAGGGAAGCCAUAUGGAAGAUUAAAAGUGAAAAUAUGAGAUGAACCAUCAUGUGCUUCUGGCUGGAGGUAUCUCAUGAUCCCCAGAGAAUAGAACUCUCUUCUUGCUGAGAAGUAAACUGAACCACAGCUCAUUCACCAGGAAAAUGGAGCACUUGCCUCAUAGAUGGUGAUGACUUACUAACGAGAGGCAGAAGCUGAAGCUGCACAUGCAUAAAAUCAGAACCCUGAUUCAUCGGGACUACAAUCAGGCAGCUCAGGAUCUUUCCCAUGGGUUGUCAAAGUGCUCCUCUCUGGGAGGAACAGGCUGCAGCUUCAGCUGAACCCAGAAUCUCACUAUGUAGACAACACGAACUUUGAAUUCACAGAGAUCCUUCUCCUCUCAAGUAUUGGGAUUAAAGGAAUGUGUCACACUAUGCCCGG
rnacentral:lncRNA from 1 species